UACGGGGGGGGCAAGCGUUGUUCGGAAUUACUGGGCGUAAAGGGCGCGUAGGCGGGUGGACAAGUCUCUCGUGAAAGCCCACGGCUCAACCGUGGAAUUGCGGGAGAUACUGUCUGUCUUGAGUCCGGGAGAGGAGGGUGGAAUUCCCAGUGUAGCGGUGAAAUGCGUAGAUAUUGGGAGGAACACCGGUGGCGAAGGCGGCGUACUGGCCUGACCCUGACACUGAGACGCGAAAGCAUGGGGAGCAAACGGG
rnacentral:rRNA from 1 species